AUACUAUGGGAUGAACUGGUCCCAAACAUUCAAAGAUCAUCCAUUUCACUUUGUUAGCUAAUUUAUCUUAUCCUUUAGCUGAUCAUUGAAGAUGAAACAUUU